rnacentral:ncRNA from 1 species
UCUAUGGAGGGUUCGAUUCUGGCUCAGGAUGAACGCUGGCGGCGUGCUUAACACAUGCAAGUCGAACGGGAUCGGCCAAGCUUGCUUGGCCGUGAGAGUGGCGAACGGGUGAGUAAUGCGUGACCAACCUGCCCCAUUCUCCGGAAUAGCUCCUGGAAACGGGUGGUAAUGCCGGAUGCUCCACAUGACCUCAUGGGAUUGUGGGAAAGGGUUACUGGAAUGGGAUGGGGUCGCGUCCUAUCAGGCUUGUUGGUGGGGUAACGGCCCACCAAGGCUUCGACGGGUAGCCGGCCUGAGAGGGCGACCGGCCACAUUGGGACUGAGAUACGGCCCAGACUCCUACGGGAGGCAGCAGUGGGGAAUAUUGCACAAUGGGCGAAAGCCUGAUGCAGCGACGCCGCGUGCGGGAUGAAGGCCUUCGGGUUGUAAACCGCUUUUGAUUGGGAGCAAGCGAGAGUGAGUGUACCUUUCGAAGCACCGGCUAACUACGUGCCAGCAGCCGCG